rnacentral:rRNA from 1 species
GACGAACGCUGGCGGCGUGCCUAAUCCAUGCAAGUAGAACGCAGUUGCGAACGGGUGAGUAACGCGUAGGUAACUGCCUGGUAGCGGGGGCUAACUAUUGGAAACGAUAGCUAAUACCGCAUACUACCAGAUGGACCUGCGUUGUAUUAGCUAGUUGGUUUUGUAACGGCUCACCAAGGCAACGAUGCAUAUCCGACUUGAGAUGGUGAGCGGCCACACUGGGACUGAGACACGGCCCCGACGCCUACUGGAGGCAGCAGUAGGGAAUCUGCGGCAAUGGGGGGAACCCUGACCGAGCAACGCCGCGUGAGUGAAGAAGGUUUUCGGAUCGUAAAGCUCUGUUGUUAAGGAAGCGGUACUUAACCAGAAAGGGACGGCUAAAUAAGAGCCAGCCGCCGCGGUAAUAC